rnacentral:rRNA from 1 species
AACAGUUGCUAAGACUGGAUAGGAAAUUAGAAGGCAUCUUUUAAUUUUUAAAAGACCUUUUUCGAAAGGUAUACUUAAAGAGGGGCUUGCGGCACAUUAGUUAGUUGGUAGGGUAAAAGCCUACCAAGACCAUGAUGUGUAGCUGGACUGAGAGGUUGAACAGCCACAUUGGGACUGAGACACGGCCCAAACUCCUACGGGAGGCAGCAGUAGGGAAUUUUCGGCAAUGGAGGAAACUCUGACCGAGCAACGCCGCGUGAACGAUGAAGUAUUUCGGUAUGUAAAGUUCUUUUAUUGAAGAAGAAAAAAUAGUGGAAAAACUAUCUUGACGAUAUUCAAUGAAUAAGCCCCGGCAAACUAUGUGCCAGCAGCCGCGGUAAUACAUAGGGGGCGAGCGUUAUCCGGAAUUAUUGGGCGUAAAGGGUGCGUAGGCGGUUUGGUAAGUCUAUAGUUUAAUUUCAGUGCUUAACACUGUUCUGCUAUAGAAACUAUCAGACUAGAGUGAGAUAGAGGCAAGUGGAAUUCCAUGUGUAGCGGUAAAAUGCGUAAAUAUAUGGAGGAACACCAGAGGCGUAGGCGGCUUGCUGGGUCUUUACUGACGCUGAGGCACGAAAGCGUGGGGAGCAAACAGGAUUAGAUACCCUGGUAGUCCACGCCGUAAACGAUGAGUACUAAGUGUCGGGGAAACUCGGUACUGAAGUUAACACAUUAAGUACUCCGCCUGAGUAGUACGUACGCAAGUAUGAAACUUAAAGGAAUUGACGGGACUCCGCACAAGCGGUGGAUCAUGUUGUUUAAUUCGAAGAUACACGAAAAACCUUACCAGGUCUUGACAUACUCUGCAAAGCUAUAGCAAUAUAGUGGAGGUUAUCAGGGAUACAGGUGGUGCAUGGUUGUCGUCAGCUCGUGUCGUGAGAUGUUAGGUUAAGUCCUAAAACGAGCGCAACCCUUGUCACUAGUUGCCAGCAUGUUAUGAUGGGCACUUUAGUGAGACUGCCAAUGAAAAAUUGGAGGAAGGUGAGGAUCACGUCAAAUCAUCAUGCCCCUUAUGAUCUGGGCUACAAACGUGAUACAAUGGCUGUUACAAAGAGUAGCUAAAACGCGAGUUUAUAGCCAAUCUCAUAAAAGCAGUCUCAGUUCGGAUUGAAGUCUGCAACUCGACUUCAUGAAGUUGGAAUCGCUAGUAAUCGCGAAUCAGCAUGUCGCGGUGAAUACGUUCUCGGGGUUUGUACACACCGCCCGUC